UCUAACAAACAAAUUGCUCAAAAAGCAAGAAGCAAUUCAAGAUAUCAGAAAAGGUCACCUAAGUAAAGAUCUCCAGUUGGGAUAAGGCUGAUUGAGCCACAAUUACAAAUGGUAUAGGGUGUGAAACAACCAGAGUUGGUGCAGAACAGAAGUCUCUUGAGACCGACUCAAGUUGAUUGAAAAAAAUCCAAGAUGCUCAAGACUCAAGGCCACAAACUGAC
rnacentral:lncRNA from 1 species